rnacentral:rRNA from 1 species
CAGGUCUUGACAUCCCCCUGAACGGUGCAGAGAUGUGCCGGGCCUUCGGGACAGGGGAGACAGGUGGUGCAUGGUUGUCGUCAGCUCGUGUCGUGAGAUGUUGGGUUAAGUCCCGCAACGAGCGCAACCCUUGAUCUUAGUUGCCAGCACCUUGGGUGGGCACUCUAGGAUGACUGCCGGUGACAAACCGGAGGAAGGCGGGGAUGACGUCAAAUCAUCAUGCCCCUUAUGACUUUGGGCUACACACGUACUACAAUGGUCGGUACAGAGGGCAGCGAGGCCGCGAGGCGGAGCGAAUCCCAAAAAACCGAUCUCAGUUCGGAUUGCAGGCUGCAACUCGCCUGCAUGAAGCCGGAAUUGCUAGUAAUCGCGGAUCAGCAUGCCGCGGUGAAUACGUUCCCGGGUCUUGUACACACCGCCCGUCACACCACGAGAGUUUACAACACCCGAAGUCGGUGAGGCAACCCGCAAGGGAGCCAGCCGCCGAAGGUGGGGUAGAUGAUUGGGGUG